rnacentral:rRNA from 1 species
AGAGUUUGAUCCUGGCUCAGGAUGAACGCUGGCGGUAUGCUUAACACGUGCAAGUCGGACGGGAAGUGGUGUUUCCAGUGGCAGACGGGUGAGUAACGCGUAAGAACCUGCCCUUGGGAGGGGAACAAUAGCUGGAAAUGACUGCUAAUACCCCAUAGGCUGAGGAGAAAAAGGGGGAAUCCGCCCAAGGAGGGGCUCGCGUCUGAUUAGUUAGUUGGUGAGGCAAUGGCUUACCAAGGCGACGAUCAGUAGCUGGUCUGAGAGGAUGAUCAACCACGCUGGGACGGAGACAUGGCCCAGACUCCUACGGGAGGAAGCAGUGGGGAAUUUUCUGCAAUGGGCGACAGCCUGAUGGAGCAAUGCCGCGUGAAGGCAAAAGGCCCACGAGUCAUGAACUUCUUUUCUCGGAGAAGAAAAAUGACGGUCUCUGAGGAAUAAGCAUCAGCUAAAUCUGUGCCAGCAGCCGCGGUAAU